rnacentral:lncRNA from 1 species
CCGGCCAGCAGACAGGUGCCCGGUGAGUGUCCGUCCUGAGGGCCUCUGCCCUCCGCCACCGCCACGGAUCGCCUUCCACCCUGUGCCUUUCGGGUGUCCCCCAACCCCGGUACAGUAUUUCAUUUUCUGUGCGCUUCCAGGAAGGGGCAACCGGGGCCUCGUUCACACGGCUCAGCACACGAGACGCUCCUCAUGUCUGCACGCUUCUGAUGCUUCUUGGUUGCUGAGCGUGUUUCUGGGUAUGACAUUCAAGUGAUUUUAUUCUUAAAUAAAUGCUCAGCCUCAGGCCUGGUUAGGCA